UACGUAGGCUCCAAGCGUUAUCCGGAUUUACUGGGCGUAAAGCGUCCUUAGGUGGUUCUGUCCUCGUUUGAGGAGUUGUUUUCUUAAAGAAAACAAUCUAGUCUAUUGUUAAAACCUCUGGCUCAACCAGAGAAAUGCAAUAGAUACGGCAGAACUAGAGGAAAAAAGGGGCAAGGGGAACUCACGGUGUAGGGGUGAAAUCCGUUGAUAUCGUGAGGAACACCGAAAGCGAAGGCACCUUGCUGGGUUUUUCCUGACGCUCUAAGACGAAAGCGUGGGGAGCAAAAAGG
rnacentral:rRNA from 1 species